rnacentral:rRNA from 1 species
CCUACGGGAGGCAGCAGUGGGGAAUCUUGCGCAAUGGGCGAAAGCCUGACGCAGCAACGCCGCGUGCGGGAUGACGGCCUUCGGGUUGUAAACCGCUUUCAGUGGGGACGAACCAAGACGGUACCCACAGAAGAAGCCCCGGCCAACUACGUGCCAGCAGCCGCGGUAACACGUAGGGGGCGAGCGUUGUCCGGAUUUAUUGGGCGUAAAGAGCUCGUAGGCGGUUCGAUAAGUCGGGUGUGAAACCUCCAGGCUCAACCUGGAGACGCCACCCGAUACUGCCGUGACUAGAGUCCAGUAGGGGAGCGUGGAAUUCCUGGUGUAGCGGUGAAAUGCGCAGAUAUCAGGAGGAACACCAGUGGCGAAGGCGGCGCUCUGGGCUGGAACUGACGCUGAGGAGCGAAAGCGUGGGGAGCGAACAGGAUUAGAUACCCUGGUAGUCCACGCCGUAAACGUUGGGUACUAGGUGUGGGGUCUUAUCAACGGAUUCCGUGCCGCAGCUAACGCAUUAAGUACCCCGCCUGGGGAGUACGGCCGCAAGGCUAAAACUCAAAGGAAUUGACGG